UACAGAGGUCCCAAGCGUUGUUCGGAUUCACUGGGCGUAAAGGGUGCGUAGGUGGUCGGUCAAGUUCGAUGUGAAAUCUCCGGGCUCAACUCGGAAAUGGCAUUGAAUACUGCCCGGCUGGAGGGUCGAAGGGGAGACUGGAAUUCUCGGUGUAGCAGUGAAAUGCGUAGAUAUCGAGAGGAACACCAGUGGCGAAGGCGAGUCUCUGGACGACUCCUGACACUGAGGCACGAAAGCUAGGGGAGCAAACAGG
rnacentral:rRNA from 1 species